rnacentral:lncRNA from 1 species
AUGCCGAGUGGCGGCGGGGCCGGCUCUCCCGGCGGGGCGGCCGAGCGCCAAGCCCGCCCCUCCCUCGGCGAGGGACAGCCCCGAGUCCCGGCACGGCCCGGCACGGCCCGGCACGGCCCGGCUCCGCCCCGGGCCGCCCCCGCCGCUUUCGUGCCCCCCCCACCGGGGCCAGCGCCCGGCGGCCGCGGGGCUGCGGGGAGAGGGGUGAGUGGUGGUGGGGGGUGUCCGGCCCCGGGAAAGGGGCUGGGAGCCAUCGGGGCUCAGUCCCGGACCCCUUCCCGGCCCGGGGGGGGCUGCGGGGACCCCCCCCCCCCCCCCCCCCCUCGUGGCACCGCCUGGAGCGCGUCCCCCGGCAUAUCCCGCCCGGAGCGCGUUGGGCUUGGAAAAUGCGAUUUGGGUAAAGAACGCGGGGCUGUGCCCCCGCCCAGAGAUCACCCAGGGGCCAAGGAUUGCAACCCCCCCCCGUGGCCCAUCGCAUUGCCCCUUCUCCCGCAUCCCCCCAAGUCCCCCGUACCCGUUCCCUCCUUGGCGCGGCUGCUCUCCCCCCUAACAAGGACACGGGGACACCCGGACCUGGGAGGCUGGCAGAGCACGGGGACAGUGUUGGAAAUGAGGGGAGCACCUCUUGCACCGUGCUCUUGCCCCCCGGGCAAUUACUCUUCCUCCCUACCCCCCCCCCCCCCCCCCCCAGCCAGCAGGCAAGCCCCCUGGGGACAGCAGGCUGCCCUGAGGGACACACGAGGAGGUUCCACACAUGCCUGGGUAGCACUGGAGAGCAGUACCCAACAUGUUCUGCACGUUUUAGCAAUUCAGCUCCAGAUUUCCCCCCUUUUGGGGCACUGGCAGUGCUGGGCAGAGCAGAGGCAGCUCCUCCUGUGCCCCCCGUGCCUCGGCUGCAGCCAGCCCGGCCCCGCUUGCCCCAUGCACCCUCCCAUGCAGCUGGAGCCACCCAGCCAGUUCCCCCCUCCUGGACUGAGCUCCAUUUUCCUCUCAAGCCACAAACUUGCCACCUCCGGGGCUGUGGUCAGGGCAUGGGGCACCCAGAGGCUACCAAACCUGGCUGGGUUGUGGCUGGGAUUUGUAGAGCAGCCAAACCAGCAGCGUGGGUUCAGGCACUGCUGGCUGCCAGGGCUGGGGCUCCCUGGGGCAGAUCCCAGUGAUGGGACCCCACAAGGGUCCUGCCACUGUCUGCUGCCCCAGAGGGCAGGGGAGCUCUCUUGGCUCUGA